UAUUCAUCUAGUUAGAGACAACCCAAUGAAGCAAUCCAUUCAGGUACAUACAGACAGAUUAAAUGUAGUGAGAUAUUCACUGGGUCCUUUAAAUAUGUAGACAGACUUUAUAAAGACUUUAUUUGAAUUUCUUAAUCUCUGUCAAAGUCUGCCUGUUUACACUAGAUGUUUGGAAACACUGAUGUGGAAACUUUCAAAGAGGCGAGGCUCCAAGCACGUGACUGACUUCUAGCUAUAUUAUUUAGAACUUGGAGAGUGAGAAGAGACUCCCUUUCAGGGUCAUUCUCCAGGACUCCAGACAAAGGCUGAAUUCAUAAUCUUCAAAAACAGUUCGCCAAAUCAAAAGGUAACAAUAACUUGAAAACAUUUAACUAUGUAUUAGAAUGAAAUGGAAGUUCUUGUAUAUAUUCCUAAAAUUUAAGAUUAAGAUUUAAAUAAAAAAUAUAAUAUUUAAUCAUGGUAAAUAGGGUUCUGCUUAUCACAGAUGUAGCAAGC
rnacentral:lncRNA from 1 species